GGGCGGGGGCGGCGCGGGGCGGGGCCGGGGGCGGGGCCGGGGCCGAGGUUCCGCCGAGCGCGCGGCGGUGCUGCGAGCCCCCGCGCUCCACUCCCGCCCGGACCCGCCGGGGCGCGGCGGCGCCAGGUCUGUCUUCCCGGAGUCUAGCUCAAGUCUCUCCUGCUGCAGCUUCUGUGCUGGCUGAG
rnacentral:lncRNA from 1 species